rnacentral:rRNA from 1 species
UACGUAGGGUGCAGGCGUUAAUCGGAAUUACUGGGCGUAAAGCGUGCGCAGGCGGUUUCUUAAGUCAGAUGUGAAAGCCCCGGGCUUAACCUGGGAACUGCGUUUGAAACUGGGAGACUUGAGUGUGGCAGAGGGGGGUGGAAUUCCACGUGUAGCAGUGAAAUGCGUAGAGAUGUGGAGGAACACCGAUGGCGAAGGCAGCCCCCUGGGUACU